rnacentral:tRNA from 1 species
GUUGUCGUGGCCGAGUGGUUAAGGCGAUGGACUUAAAUUCUUUUUGGGAUCUUCCAGCGCAGGUUCGAAUCCUGCCGACAUCG